CCUGAUUUUAUUGUUUGUAUUAUUUUCCUUGUUAUAGGCAAUAUGGAAUUAUUUCAGCUGCUUUCAUUGUCUUCUGCAAAUCUUGAGUAUGGUCCCCAUUUGAUUAUUUGCCUUUGCUAGGUUCUCAUUCCUUUCAACCUUCCUGUAUAAUUUUUACAUCCAUCCUUCCCUUGGUUAUAUGCCUUAUUUGGGGUUCUCGUUCCUUGCAACCUUCCUCACUCAUCUGUAUAAUUUUUAUAUCCAUUCUCUUUUGACUCCUUGAAUACUGCUGGGCUUGUGGCUUUUGCAUCCCUGACCUCGUAAUUGUUAUUGGGUAAAUGGUCUUUGCACUUGAGGUGCUUUGUGGAUACCCUAAAGUUCAUUUUACUUCUUGAGCCAUCUGCCUCUUCUUCUGGUGCCUCUUUAGAUUGUAAUAAUAAGGGGAAAAUAAAUCCUUCGGUUUGGAGUCGACGAAUAUGAUAUGCUUGCUUCUUGUGAGGAAAGGCGAGAAUUUUGGUUGUGCUUGAAUUUGGACUGGCCUAGGGCUGAAAAUGCUUGCUAGCCAAUCUAUUUAAGACCAUACAGCCUUUCGUAGUUUCUGAUGCUCAAUAUUGUUUCCCUACCCUUGCAGAUUUCUCUUGCAGAAGCCAUUUUGCUCAUUUCAGUCAUGUGCUAUGAGCUGUGAUGUCCUCUGGCUGAAACACUUCGUGAUUUGCUGCUUGUGUAGGUGGAUGCAAUUCAGGCUUGUGGAGGUCAGAUGACUGCUGAUGGCAGCCGCUGUCGAAAUGGUGGUGGCAUACUAUGGAAUAUCAUCAAAGCACAAGAACCAAAAGCCUACAAAGAGAUAAUGAAAAAAGUGCAGGAAUUUGAGAAGCAAUUCAAGCCACCAAAUAAUAGACGUGGAGGGGAGCCAAAGAAGGAAGGGGUUUCACCAGGAACCACCCAUUCAUUUGUGGAAGGUACUCCUGCCACUUUUUUCAGAUAAUUCCCAGCCAAUAUCUCAGAUGCAAAAUGAGUAGGCAAAUACUGGUAUUGAAUGAGCGUCUGUUCAUGAUAGCCUAAGGAUCCCAGUCUCUUAUGAUGAUGACCUUCUUGGAGAGGAUACAAAGGGUGAUGCAGCUUGAUUUUUGGAUCAUAGGAACUUUAUAUGGCUUGGUAUUGUAGGUUUCAUUCGCAGAUGAGGUGCCAAAUUAUUGGUGAUAUUUAUGAUGCCAUAGAUGGAGUCAUGGAGCAAAAUGUUGAACCCAUUUCUA